rnacentral:rRNA from 1 species
UCCGUAGGUGAACCUGCGGAAGGAUCAUUAUUGAAUGAACUUGGUGUGGUUGUUGCUGGCCCUUUCGGGGGCAUGUGCACACCCAUCAUCCUCAUCUCUCCACCUGUGCACCUCUUGUAGACUUGGAUUGACUUUCCGAGGCAACUCGGUCGGGAGGACUUGCUGGCACUAGCUGGCUUUCCUUGCAUUUCCAAGUCUAUGUUUUUUCAUAUACCCCAUUGAAUGUAACAGAAUGUAACAUAUUGGGCCUUUGUGCCUAUAAAAACUUAUACAACUUUCAACAACGGAUCUCUUGGCUCUCGCAUCGAUGAAGAACGCAGCGAAAUGCGAUAAGUAAUGUGAAUUGCAGAAUUCAGUGAAUCAUCGAAUCUUUGAACGCACCUUGCGCUCCUUGGUAUUCCGAGGAGCAUGCCUGUUUGAGUGUCAUUAAAUUCUCAACUAUUAUCAGCUUUUGCUGAUGAUGGCUUGGAUAUGGGGGUUUAUUUUGCUGGCUUCUCAGAUAGUCAGCUCCCCUUAAAUGCAUUAGCUGGUGCCCCGCGUGGACUGUCUAUUGGUGUGAUAAUUAUCAACGCUAUAGACAUCUGCAUCAUAUGGGUUUGCGCUGCUUCUAACAGUCUGUUGAUUCAGACAAUACAUGACAAUUAUGACCUCAAAUCAGGUAGGACUACCCCGCUGAACUUAAGCAUAUCAUAAGCGGAGGA